AUUCUACUACAAUAACAGCCGGUGUCUUCUACAUGGGCCAGACAGGGUGGUCUGGCUGAGAGGCUCGUGACUGGUCCCCAGCUGGAGAAGCUUCGUGACGGACCACCGCUGUGGCAUAAAUACUUGGUCAGGUUCUCUCUCCACCCUCUGAUGGACAGUCUCCACCUUCCACCACCAUUUGCCAAAUACUCCGACUGUUCACAGCCUGAAACAUAUGAACUGAAGGCCUGGGACCGUUGAGACAAUGUUCCUCACCAAGGAUAUUUGCUGAAAUCACAAAGAGAACCAAGUGGAAGUUGUGUUGAUCUUCUUGUAAAUAUAUUGUUUAAAUUCAAAAGCAUUACUUAUGACAUUUAUAUUAGCCAAAAAUUCGAAAGCAUAGAUUUUAGGCCAGUUAUCAAUCAACUAAUUUUCAGUUUAAUUUUGUUAAUUUUUUUGUGUGCUUUUGUCUAAUGACUCAUCCUUUUAUGGGUGUUUCCCGGCAGUUUGUGAUUUGCUAAUAUUUUGUAUCGGGGAUGGUGGCUUCAUGUUCAAUCUCCGUUCUACCACACCUAAUCCUACUAAUCAGCUUAUUAGUAGAAACAUGUAUGGUAGAACUGGGCUUGAGCAAAGCCUUGCACAACCUGUGGGUCCUUAAGAGCAGACACCAGCCCUGAUUAUUAAGUACUAUUUCCAAAGUCUGAUUAUUGUAGGUUCGGCUAUUAAAUAAUUGUUUUUGUUGUAAUAAGUCACUAUUUUGACAUGUUU